UACCAGCACCCCGAGUGGUCGGGACGAUUAUUGGGCCUAAAGCAUCCGUAGCCGGUCCUGCAAGUCUUCCGUUAAAUCCAGCUGCUUAACAGAUGGGCUGCGGGAGAUACUACAGGGCUAGGAGGCGGGAGAGGCAAGCGGUACUUUAUGGGUAGGGGUAAAAUCCGCUGAUCCAUAGAAGACCACCAGUGGCGAAGGCAGCCUUCUGGGCCAACACUGACGCUCAUGCACGAAAGCGUGGGGAGCAAACAGG
rnacentral:rRNA from 1 species